CCUGAAAAUCUGAAGAAAGCAAACCAAAGCAGCCAGAUGGAGAGAUCUCUACACAAAGAACACCAAUUUCUGCACAAAUCACAGAGGCCAUCCUUAGAUUAAGAUUAAAAUACGUCAUGUUCUGAAGCUAGAGGAUAGGUGUAGAUGUCCUCUAACUCUUUCAUCCAUUUCAAUUUAACGUCAUGAACACUAGUGAUGACAAGAUUUGAGAUACCGACUCGAGUGGAGGCAGCAAAGUUCCACUUGAUGUGGACAUGAGGAUGUCAUUCAGAUACCGACUCUACAUUCGGCUUCUAUUGCUAUGCGAUCUAUGAGCAUCUUUUAGAAUGUAUCAGAAGCACACAAUCAAUCUGGAACAGGUAGUUGUUUGAAAUCCAACUUACUCACAAUGCAUUCUUCAACCAUGUUGCUGUAAAUUGAUCCACUGUCUCAUGGCUUAGAAUUUAUGAAUCUUCAUUACAAGGAUUCGAUAUCAAUAUAUGAUUUUGGUAUGCCCUUUGAGAGGUUUGGUUGCAGCUAUGUGGGGUCAUUAUUAAUAUUUCACUUGAUUCAAACAAACCGUAGAGAAUGGUAGAGGAAACAUCAUGGCCCUACAGUUUUGUCUCCUCGUCUUUUCAUUUAAUGGCAAAUGAACAUGGUUCCAUU